UGGGGAAUUUUGGACAAUGGGGGCAACCCUGAUCCAGCCAUGCCGCGUGAGUGAAGAAGGCCUUCGGGUUGUAAAGCUCUUUCGGCCGGGAAGAAAUCGUGUUCUCUAACAUAGGACAUGGAUGACGGUACCGGACUAAGAAGCACCGGCUAACUACGUGCCAGCAGCCGCGGUAAUACGUAGGGUGCGAGCGUUAAUCGGAAUUACUGGGCGUAAAGCGUGCGCAGGCGGUUUUGUAAGACAGAUGUGAAAUCCCCGGGCUUAACCUGGGAACUGCGUUUGUGACUGCAAGGCUAGAGUACGGCAGAGGGGGGUGGAAUUCCUGGUGUAGCAGUGAAAUGCGUAGAUAUCAGGAGGAACACCGAUGGCGAAGGCAGCCCCCUGGGCCUGUACUGACGCUCAUGCACGAAAGCGUGGGGAGCAAACAGGAUUAGAGACCCGAGUAG
rnacentral:rRNA from 1 species